rnacentral:rRNA from 1 species
GACGAACGCUGGCGGCGUGCUUAACACAUGCAAGCCGAGCGGUAAGGCCCUUUCGGGGGUACGACGAGCGGCGAACGGGUGAGUAACACGUGGGUGACCUGCCCUCCAGCUCUGGGAGUAAGCCUGGGAAACCGGGUCUAAUACUGGAUAUGACUCCAUGACGCACGUUGUGGGGUGGAAAGCCUUGUGCGGCUGAGGAUGGGCCCGCGGCCUAUCAGCUUGUUGGUGGGGUGAGGCCUACCAAGGCGACGACGGGUAGCCGGCCUGAGAGGGCGACCGGCCACACUGGGACUGAGACACGGCCCAGACUCCUACGGGAGGCAGCAGUGGGGAAUCUUGCGCAAUGGGCGAAAGCCUGACGCAGCGACGCCGCGUGAGGGAUGACGGCCUCGG